AAAGUGGCUAAAGAUUUGAAGAAGGUGAGCCUAUUCCACAGGUGGUGAAAGAAUGGUGUCCUUUGCUAUACCAUCAAUGGCAGCAACAGCUUCAUCAUCUUCAGCUCCAUUGGCUUGUUGUUCUUCUACUUCUCUGCAUUGCUCUGCAAAUUAUUCAAAUUGCAGGAGGAGGAGCAGUACUAUUCACUGUCUGAGAAUCACUGCUUCUUCAAGUCUCGCUGAUGCCUCUGCACUUCUUCGAGCUGCCCACCACACUGUGGAUACUUACAUAAAAAGCGGCAUGGUAAUUGGUUUGGGGUCUGGUCAAGCUUCUGCCAUGGCUAUAGAGUAUCUGGGUCGGCAGCUUCGUGUGGGUGCUUUUAGAGAUUUAGUGGGGAUUCCCACGUGUGCUGCAAGUGCGAGUGAGGCAGCAAAAGCAGGAAUUCCACUGGAUUACUACCAAGACAGUUCCCAAAUUGAUUUUGCAUUUGAUGAUGCUGAUGUUAUAGAAGAAGGAACACUUACCGCUAUCAUUGGUCGUCGGAGUUUGCAAGGUGAUGAGUCCAUUAUCCAACAGAAGAGUAUAUUAAAUACUGCAGGUAAACUUGUGUUCAUGAUCACAAAAAACAAGUACAAAGGUGGUCUGGAUGGUUCUGUUCCAGUUUUAGUUCAGUCUCUUAACUGGUUGGAAACUGCGGAAGAGAUUGAUGAUCUGUUUUUGGGUGAUGCAGAGGUAUGGAGGAGACCAGCAAUAGGGCAUGCAGGUCCAAUGGGGGGUGACUUCCCCCUACUUACCAAAGAAGGACACAAUGUUCUUGAUGUCAUUUUCACAUCUCCCAUACAAAGUCUUGGUGAUGUAGCUAAAAGCCUUGAUAACAUUGAUGGGGUUGUGGACCAUGGAGUCAUUUCCAAAUUCCCGUUUUAGGCAUUUUGAGUAGCUCCAUGUUUGACUUUGUACCCACUUUGCUGCACCAUCCUUUAGUGGCUUUUAAGUCAUUCUAUGGUUCAGCCAAAGAGAGUCCAAUUUUCCAUGAUUCAGUGGCUCUGUGCAAUAAAGUUCAAUAAUUCAUCCUUUAGCGGCUUGUUAUCUCGUUCAACAGCUCAACAUGGGGUGUCUUAGACUCCAUCCUUCAAUGGCUUGUUAUCCUAUUGAAAGGUUCUGUUCAUUAGAGUUGAAUACUCUAUCAUUUUAAGGGAUCAGCCUAAGAGAGUCCAAUAUUUAUCUUUUCAUUGGCUUGUUAUUCCAUUCUGCAUCAUGUCUUAGGAGAGUCCGAUACUGAAUACUCCAUCUUUCGUGGUGGCUCUUGUCCUCUAUAAUUCUAUCCUUGGGAAGCCCACUGAUUUGAUCCUAACACAACAGACUUGAACUUGCUUGAAGAGUUGUGUUGCUUACCGCAUACCUUCUCACUGGGUUGCAAUACCUCACUUCUUUGAGAUCUAUCUUGGUCCAAGAUCUUUAGCUAUGCACAGCAGUAAUUGCUUCAGAAGACGGACUAAGCAUUGUCGAUAAUCUACGGAAGAGUUCAGUCGAAUGAGUCUAAUUUGGCCUAGCAGCACAAAGUAUGCAGCUUUUUGGUAUUGUUUCUGCACAUAUAUUUUGCCUCGACUAGGAUUUUAAAUUUCAUAUAUCUUUUACUGAAAAGGGCCCUUGAGGUUGUAUUGGAUGUUUCCAAAAUUUCUUGAAUUUUGGCCCUCCGCUCCUAUAAGUUCUUUUACUCGAGCCAUAAAUAUUUGUGUAUGUGUGUGUGUGUGUGUGUGUGUGUGUAUACAUAUAUAUUACUCCAUUUUUGGUUC